rnacentral:sRNA from 1 species
GGAAAACUUCUCGAAGACCACCACUCUCUCGCCUACUACAACAUUCAAGAAGGCGCAUUAAUUUGGCUAUACUCUCGUUGAAUCAUAAUUAUUCUAAUUUUCAUUCACUUUUUUCAAGAUAUUGUUAUUUUGCGAAUAAAUAAUUGUUAACUAAAAUUGUUCGCUUUUCACAGAUUUUUUUUAAAAAUGAUUCUGCAAUCAUUUGGAUAUUUGAUUUACUCAAAAAUAAAAGCAACUUUCUUGGUUUUCGGUUCUUGUUCAGUUUUUAGAGAGUUUUUUCUCGAAUUUACCUGGGAAAUUAGAAAAGUUAACUAGGAACUUCUUUGCAUUUCAAAAAUUAUCAAAAAGCUUUUUUUUUUCAGAUUUAAAAAUGUCGGAGACAAGCAGUUUGAUGUCUCAAUUCCAAAAACUUCGCGUUGAAACUUCCAAGAUAUACAAUGAAUUCACAGAGGUGAGAAUAAUAAUAAUAAUUUAUUACGCUCGCUGGGAGACGUGAAGGAAUACAGAAUACAAAAGUUAUCAUUGUUCGCUUGAACUAGAAUUGGUGCAGUCGGGCAGUUGUUUCCAUUCCAUUAGAAUGUUGUCCUUGUCCUUGCUUGUCCUUGCGCAGACUCCCCCAUAGUGGGCGAACGAUUCCCGAGUGAAAAAAAAGAUUUUGAAAAAACACGAUUGUCAAAAAACCCAGAAAAAUCAAAACAGGGUGAUCGAAAAUUUGAUAUUGGAUUUGGAGAUGGUCAAAAAUGAGACUAGUGAUAUGAAAAAGCAACAAGAGACUCAGAUUUUGAAGGAACAAGACGAAUUUCAAGAUGAGAUUAGGCAAGAAUUUCUGAAAAUCCAGGAAAAUGAAAACAAAUUGAUCGAAAAGUUGAUGUCGGAAUUGAAAACUCUCAAAACAGAGCUGAAUGAGACUAAAAAUCAAAUAAGUGACCUGCAUAAUGCAACAAAGCAACAGGAGUCUCAGGCACAAUCGAUGAAUGAUCUUCUAACCAAGAAUUCGAAUAAUAAUCUGAAAAUGAUGCUGAAAAUUCAGGAAGGUCAAGAUCGGAUUAUGAUGAAGAUUCAAGAAGGAGCUGCUGUGAAAGACGUCCCAAUUGAAUCUGGAGAAUUGGCAAAGAAUGACUCAAUGUUUAAGAUUUUUGUUUCCUGGUCCAUUCCGGGUGGCAUAUUCGUGUCUGAAAACCGCAGGAAACUACCAGUGUACGAAUCGAACACAAUUCGACAAAUCAAACUGCGCAUCAAUUCACUUGUAGGAAUAGACAUCGGCUCGUUCAGCUCGUACUGUGAUGGUCGGUUGUUUUCGAAAUUGCUUUUUAAAAUAAAAUUUGCAUCUCAGAUAAAAUUCUCGAAGACGACCACACUCUCGCUCACUACAACAUUUCGUACAACAAUUCGCGUAUUCUCAUAAUUCUCCAUUUUUGCUCAUUUUCAACUUGAAUUUCACCGUUAAUGACAAUUAAUGAAUCUUUUUUUGUUUCAGAAUCCUCAAGUUCAUGGAAUUCUCCAGCUCAUAAUUUUUUAUCGAUUUUUUUAAAUUAUUGCCGAUACUAAAGUUCCCGGCAGUUUGCGAAUAAAUAAUUGUGAAAAUCCAAGAAAAUCAAAACAAAUUGUUCGAAAAUUUGAUGUCGGAAUUGAAAACUGUCAAAACAGAGCUGAUUGAGACGAAAAAUCAAAUAAAUGGUCUUCCUACCAAGAUUUCGGAUAACAAUCUGGAAAUGAUACUGAAAAUUCAGAAAAGUCAAGAUCAGAUGAAGAUUCAGGAAGGAGAAUUUGCGAAGAAGAUCGAAGAAUCAGUUGCACCUGUGAAAACACCGCUGGAAGCCCCAAUUGAAGAUAAAAAAUUGGAUAAUAAAAAACCAUUUUUCAAGAUUACUGUACAUUUGCAUGGAGGUCCUAAUGCAUCCGUAUAUGGAAGAAAGUACAAUCAUCUCGUGUUCGAUGCGCAUACGAUUCGUGAUCUUAAAGUGCGGAUCAAGGCACUUAUUAUGCAGUCCAGUCCAAUAAAACUGAGAACCGAAUUGUACAGAUUGUUCUUUGUUUGUUAGUUUAAAUCCCCCUUUCUUCAUAAUUUUUUAAUUAUACUUUCAGAUACACUUCUCGAAGACCACCAAACUAUCGCUUAUUACAAAUUCAAGAAGGCUCAACACUUGACCUGAUUCCGCUAUAAUUUUUUGAAUUUUAUCGAUUUUUUCUUGUGAAUAAUUUAUAGCUCCCUCACUUUAUUUGCCGAUUGAAAAAAUUAAAACAUAUUUUUCGAUUUUCACAUAUUUAAUUAUUUAAAAUUAUUUUUGCAAUCAUUUGGAUAUUUCCUUGAUCAAAAUUCAAAACUGCAAAAAAACUUUUUUAAAAAAAUUUUUGCGCGUAAUUUUAAGUGCAAAGUCUGCAAACACGUUGCGUACUCCGCCACCUACCGUAGUUUCCAAUGAAAAUUUGCCUGAACAUCUUUUCCGGUUUUCUUGGUUCUUGUUCAGUUUUUUUUUUUGAAAAGUUCCAAUGAUUUUUCGAGUUUCUUUUCCGUAUUUUCCCUUAAAAAUAUCGAAAUUAACUAAAAAAUGUGGUUUUAUUUGCAAAAAUUGUCUAGAAUCAGCUUUGUUAAGCGGUUUAACACGAAAACCUUUCAAAAUGUUUUUUUUUUCAGAUUUCAAAAUGUCGGGGCCAAGCGAUUUGAUGUCUGAAUUUCGAAAACUUCGCGUUGAAGCUUCCAAGAUUCAGAAUGAGUUCAAAGAGGUUUAGUUUUCGAACUCACAAAUAAUUAAAAAUCAGUUUUCUUCCAGAUACCCAGCUCUGCGGAUCAUAAGCUGAUCAAAGAGACUCUGGAAAUGAGCCAAAAAAUUUUGAAAAAACAAGACCAAUUUCAAGAUGAGAUGAAGCAAGAAUUUUUCAAACAUAACUACAAAAUCAAGCAAGAAUUUCAAAAAAUCCAGGAAAAGCAGAACAAAUUGAUCGAAAAUUUGAUGUCGGAAUUGAAGACUGUCAAAGCCGAGCUGAAUGUGACGAAAAAUCAAAUAAAUGGUCUUCUUGCCAAGAAUUCGGAUGAAAAUUUGGAACUGAUUCUAGAAUCGAUAUGGAUAAUUCAUAAACGUCAGGAUCAGAUGAUGAUGAUGAAUCAGCAAGGAGAAACUGUACAUUUUUAAUUUGGCUGCUAAGCUCAUUUAUCUUCGUUUUUUCUCGUUUUUUCUCAUUUUUAUCGAUAAAAAUAUAUUUUUUGUUGCAGAAUAUCACAAAACCGCAACGGAAACGCGUCCAACAGCACAAAACGGUGCCGAAUUCAACAAAAAAGUAGGUUUUUUCCCAUUUUCUCAAAAAAAUCCCUAUUUUAUGUAAUUUGCAAAAAAACACAUUUUUUGCGCGUAAUUUGAAGCGCAAAGUCCGCAAACACGUUGCGUACUCCGCCACCUACCGUAGUUCCCUUGAAAAUUUGUUUUUGGUUCUUGUUCAGUUUUUUGAAAAUUUUCCAAUGCUUUUUCAAGUGUCUUUCCAGAAUUUUUAUUUAAAAAUAUAGAAAUUAACUAAAAAUGCGGUUUUAUUUUCAAAAAUUACACCGAAUGAGCUCUUAAACCUCAAACACGAAAACUUUAUUAAAAUGGCUUUUUUUCAGAUUUAAAAAUGUCGGACCCAAGAGAUUUGAUGUCUGAAUUUCAAAAACUACGCGUUGAAACUUCCAAAAUACAAAAUGAAUUCAAAGAGGUGAGAAUAUCAGAAUUAAAACUUUAAAAAAUCAAAUUGUUUCCAGAAACCAGGCUACGUGGAAGAUAAACUGCACAAGAACACUCAGGAAAUUUGCCAACAGAUUUUAAAGAAACAAGGCAAAUCUCAAAAAUCCCAGGAAAAUCAAAACGCGUUUAUCGAAAAUUUGAUGUCGGAAUUGAAGACUGCCAAAUCAAAGCUAAAUGAGACCGAAAAUCAAAUAAGUGACCUGCAUGAAGCAACGAAGCAACAGGAGUCUCAGGCAAAUUUGUGGAAUGAUCUUGUUGCCAAGAUUUCGGAUAAAAAUCUGGAAAUGAUGCUGAAAAUUCAAAAAAGUCAGGAUCUGAUGAUUAUGAAGAUGCAGGAAGGAUCAGCUGUGCAAGACGUCCCAAUUGAAACUGAAAAAUCGGCAAAGAAUGGCCCAUUUUUUGAGAUUUUGGUCAUCUGGACCGACUCGCGUGGCCCAGUAGUUCCUGGGAACCAUGGGAAGCUUCGGGUGUGCGGAUCGGAUACAAUUCGACAGAUAAAACCGCGCAUCAAUUCACUUGCAGGAAUAGAUACCAUCUCGUUCAGAACGUUCUGUGAUGGUCGGUUUUUCUCGAAGUAGCUUUUUAAAAUAAAAUUUACAUUUCAGAUAAAUUUCUCGAAGACGACCACACUCUCGCCCACUACAACAUUCGAGAAGGCUCAACAAUUUGCGUAUUCUUUCAUUAAAUCAUAAUGUUUUAUCGACUUUUGUUCAAGAUGUUGUCUAAAGUUCCCCAUUUCUUAAAAUAAAUACGAACAACGUAUCAUCGUUUUUUAAAAUUUAUUUUUAAUAGUUAUUUUCAGUCAUUCAAAUAUUUUAUUCGAUCAAAAACUCCCUAUUUUAAUUUGCAACAAAAAAAAACAAUUUUUUAUGCGCGUAUUUUCAGGUGCAGAGUCUGCGAACACGUUGCGGACUCUGCCACCUACCGUAGUCCCCUUGAAAAUUUGUCCGAACAUUUUUCCCAGUGUUGUUUGUUUUUGAUAAGUUUUUUGAGAAUUUCCAAUUAUUUUUCGGGUGUCUUUUCCAAAUUUUUAUGUAAAAAUAACGAAAUUAAUUAAAAAAGUGUGGUUUUAUUUGCAAAAAUUACAACGAUGCCUUAAUAAUUUUUUUUCAGAUUUCAAAAUGUCGGAGCCAAGCAGUUUGAUGACUGAAUUUCAAAAACUUCGCGUUGAAACUUCCAAGAUACAAAAUGAGUUCAGAGAGGUGAGAUUUUCAUAUUUAAAGUUGAAAAAAAUCAAAUUGUUUCCAGAAACCAGGCUACGUGGAAGAUAAACUGCACAAGAACACCCUGGAAAUGUGCCAGAAAAUUUUAAAGAAACAACACGGAUUUCAAAAAACCCAGGAAAAUCAAAACAAAUUCAUUGAACAUUUGAUAUUGGAUUUGGAGUCUGUCAAAAAAGAAACUAGUGAUAUGAAAAAGCAACAAGAGACUCAGAUUUUGAAGAGACAAGACGAAUAUCACGACGAGAUGAAGCAAGAAUUUCAAAAAAUCCAGGCAACUCAAAAUAAAUUGAUCGAAGAUUUGAUGUCGGAAUUGAAGACUGUCAAAAAUGAGACUAAUGAUAUGAAAAGGAAUCUCAGGAGAAAUCGAUGAAUGAUCUUCUUAUCAGGAAUUCGGAUAAAAAUCUGGAAAUGAUGUUGAAAAUUCAGGAAGGUCAAAAUCAAAUGAUGAUGAAGAUUAUGCAAAGAUCAGCUGUGCAUGACGUCCCAAUUGAAACUGGAGAAUUGGCAAAGAAUGUCUCAUUUUUUUAUAUUUUUGUUUACUGGUCCGAUUCGCAUGGCACAUUAGCGUCUGGAAACUAUCGAAAUCUUUGGGUGCGCGGAUCGGACACAAUUCGACAAGUCAAACUGACCAUCAAUUCACUUGCAAACGUAGAUAUCAGCUCGUUCAGAAUGGUGCUUCGUG